rnacentral:rRNA from 1 species
UACGUAGGGUGCAGGCGUUAAUCGGAAUUACUGGGCGUAAAGCGUGCGCAGGCGGUCUGCUAAGAGAGAUGUGAAAUCCCCCGGGCUUAACCUGGGAACUGCAUUUGUGACUGCAUGGCUGGAGUGCGGCAGAGGGGGGAUGGAAUUCCGCGUGUAGCAGUGAAAAUGCGUAGAUAUCUGGAGGAACACCGGUGGCGAAGGCGGCAUCCUGGACCGGUAUUGACGCUGAGGCGCGAAAGCUAGGGGAGCAAACGGG